ensembl:snoRNA
CCCCUUCGGAUUCCAUGUCACUCAGAUCUAAAUAUUGGUCUGAGUGGCUAAAUAAGAAGGAAAAGUAAAACUGAAGUGGACUUGGAGUCUUUAAUAACUUAUAAGUUAAUUUCAAACACUG